GACGAACGCUGGCGGCAUGCCUAACACAUGCAAGUCGAACGGAGAUUACUUCGGUAAUCUUAGUGGCGAACGGGUGAGUAACGCGUAGGCAACCUGCCCUCUAGAUGGGGACAACAUCCCGAAAGGGGUGCUAAUACCGAAUGUGACAGAUUUUCCGCAUGGAAGAGCUGUGAAAGAUGGCCUCUAUUUAUAAGCUAUCGCUAGAGGAUGGGCCUGGGUCUGAUUAGCUAGUUGGUGGGGUAACGGCUCACCAAGGCGAUGAGCAGUAGCCGGGCUGGGGGGAAGAACGGCCACAUUUGGACUGAGACACGGCCCAUGCUCCUACGGGAGGCAGCAGUCGGGAAUCUUCCGCAAUGGGCGAAAGCCUGACGGAGCAAUGCCGCGUGAGUGAUGAAGGAAUUCGUUCCGUAAAGCUGUUUUGUUUAUGACGAAUGUGCGAGUUGUGAAUAAUGACUUGUAAUGACGGUAGUAAACGAAUAAGCCACGGCUAACUACGUGCCAGCCGCCGCAGUAA
rnacentral:rRNA from 1 species